AUGAAUUUGAAGAUAUCUCUUCCUCCGAACCUCACAUCGUCAACCUAUUAUCUCCGAUACAGUCCCCUUCGCUCUUCAUCUCUCAGUUCCGAAAUCCAUCACCAUCACACACUCCCUUCAGUUCUUAACUUCACGACGACCAUUUGCAGCUCAACCCAGCCCCAUACUCCUCCGUCUGGUCACUGUCAACACAUCUUCAUCAUCGAACAAUCCGCUGCUCCAUCUGAAUCCUUCCAAUUCACCACUGAACCCACACUCCCUCCGCAGUAUCAUCGAUUAUCUGUUCAUCACUAUUCCGAAGAUACAACAACUCUAUCCAGCCAUCAAAUUCAGUUCGGCUUCACUUUAAUUCCCCCAACAUUCAAGCAGUGGUAA